AUUGAACGCUGGCGGCAGGCCUAACACAUGCAAGUCGAGCGAGCGGCGGACGGGUGAGUAAUGUCUGGGAAACUGCCUGCUGGAGGGGGAUAACUACUGGAAACGGUAGCUAAUACCGCAUACCAUCAGAUGUGCCCAGAUGGGAGUAGCUAGUAGGUGGGGUAACGGCUCACCUAGGCGACGAUCCCUAGCUGGUCUGAGAGGAUGGCUAGGCAAACUGGGACUGAGAAACGGUCCCGACGCCUACGGGAUGCAGCAGUGGGGAAUACUGGACAAUGGGGCGAACGCUUAACCAGGCAUGCCGAGGUGGUGAAGGAGGCCUUAAGGGUGUAAAGCACUUUAAGCGAGGAGGCGUUACUCGCAGAAUAAGCACCGGCUAACUCCGUGCCAGCAGCCGCGGUAAUUC
rnacentral:rRNA from 1 species